CCCAGACUCCUACGGGAGGCAGCAGUGGGGAAUAUUGGACAAUGGGCGAAAGCCUGAUCCAGCAAUGCCGCGUGUGUGAAGAAGGUCUUCGGAUUGUAAAGCACUUUCGACGGGGACGAUGAUGACGGUACCCGUAGAAGAAGCCCCGGCUAACUUCGUGCCAGCAGCCGCGGUAAUACGAAGGGGGCUAGCGUUGCUCGGAAUGACUGGGCGUAAAGGGCGCGUAGGCGGUUUACACAGUCAGAUGUGAAAUUCCAGGGCUUAACCUUGGGGCUGCAUUUGAUACGUGUAGACUAGAGUGUGAGAGAGGGUUGUGGAAUUCCCAGUGUAGAGGUGAAAUUCGUAGAUAUUGGGAAAAACACCGGUGGCGAAGGCGGCAACCUGGCUCAUUACUGACGCUGAGGCGCGAAAGCGUGGGGAGCAAACAGGAUUAGAUACCCUGGUAGUCCACGCCGUAAACGAUGUGUGCUGGAUGUUGGGUAACUUAGUUACUCAGUGUCGAAGC
rnacentral:rRNA from 1 species